UUUUUUUUUUUUUUAAGAUUUUUUUUUUAUUUAUUCAUGAGAGACACAGAGAGAGAGAGGCAGAGACACAGGCAGAGGAGAAGCAGGCUCCAUGCAGGGAGCCCGACGCGGGACUCGAUCCCUGGACUCCAGGAUCACGCCCUGGGCGCCUUAGGCACUAAACCGCUGAGCCGCUGAGCCACCCCGGUGUCCCACUGGCUCCGUUGGUCUGUAGAGCCUUGAACACACAACCAUGAUAGGUCCUGCUGUGCCUUUCUUGCCCGCUCUCCCCCAACUGUGAGUGCAUCAGGGGUAGGAACCAUACCUGAAUCUUCUCUGUCAUCGCAGGGAUUCUGUGGGAGAUGCCUGGUGAGUGAAUGAAUGAAUGAAUGAAUGAGCAAGUGAAUGAAUGCCUAGGGGACUGGAACUGUGCAGACCCAGUGUACCCCCAACCACACAGGAUGAGGAAGAUAGCACACUGUCUAUACUCGCUCUCGUGGUGGGACAAGUUCUGGGGGGAGGGGGGUAUCAGAUGACCAUUCCUCCUAGAACACAGAGCCCUACAUGGGUUAUGUUCCCUGGUCACACACCAAUCCUCUUGAGAUGAGUAAAAUAAGAGUCUCACACACACUCGUACUCACAAACACCUACUUGUAGCCUCCAUCCAGUCACAUUCUCUGGUCACAUGGCCCCUCUGGAAGACACCAUGCAGUGCACAUUCACUGGUGUGAGCUCCUAGAACCCAUCCCCCAUUUCUGUGGAAGCCACUCCCUAAUUUGUGUUCAGAUGUCCACCCUCCUCCUCUCGGCCUAGCCCCACCUCCAGCUCAGGGCCUUGUAAUUUUGGGACAAUCAGAGGUCCCCACCCCCAGCCACAGAAACUGACUGGGCACUGGGGACUCAGGCCAAUGAGACAAAGGAGAUUUGCUGAAGGGCUUCUGCGAAGGAAGACUUAUGUCCCUCUGCAGAAGUUUCUUUCCGCACAGUGCAGAGCACAGAUGUCAAACCUGAAACUGAUGGGAACCCUGUCCAAAGAUGAAGCUAACACCC
rnacentral:lncRNA from 1 species